UGGCUCAGAUGGUAGAGCAUCUGCCUGCAAUUCAGGAGACCCGGGUUCGAUUCCUGG
rnacentral:tRNA from 1 species